UACGUAGGGUGCGAGCGUUGUCCGGAAUUAUUGGGCGUAAAGGGCUCGUAGGCGGUUUGUCGCGUCGGAUGUGAAAGCCCCCGGCUCAACCGGGGAAGUGCAUCCGAAACUGGCAGGCUAGAGUACGAAAGAGGGUCGCGGAAUUCCCCGGUGUAGAGGUGAAAUUCGUAGAUAUCGGGAGGAACACCAGUGGCGAAGGCGGCGACCUGGGCCAAUACUGACGCUGAGGUGCGAAAGCGUGGGGAGCAAACAGG
rnacentral:rRNA from 1 species